CAGCCGCCACGGGAAUGCGUAGGUGGCAAGCGUUGUCCGGAAUUAUUGGGCGUAAAGGGCUCGCAGGCGGUUUCUUAAGUCUGAUGUGAAAGCCCCCGGCUCAACCGGGGAGGGUCAUUGGAAGCUGGGAAACUUGAGUGCAGAAGAGGAGAGUGGAAUUCCACGUGUAGCGGUGAAAUGCGUAGAGAUGUGGAGGAACACCAGUGGCGAAGGCGACCCUCUGGUCUGUAACUGACGCUGAGGAGCGAAAGCGUGGGGAGCGAACAGGAUUAGAUACCCCAGUAGUCCCUGUCUCUUAUAC
rnacentral:rRNA from 1 species